rnacentral:lncRNA from 1 species
UCACAGGCCAUCAAUGGGUCAAGUAGUUCAAAUUCUUGAGGGAGUUUUGGACGUGACACUGCCUCCAAUUCCCAGAGCUCUCCAAGUAAUGGUCGAUGACCAUGAGCACGUAGUCUUCUUCACUGAAUCAUCCUCAUCUCAGAGUUCCCUGUCAAAGAGCAACAAUUCAACUGCUUCAGCUCAAGCAAAGAGCACCACAUUAUCAAGAAGUUCUUAAAUCGAUGUGAAGAAAAUAUUUUAACAUUUGUGUUUAAGAAUAUAUAUUUGGAUUAUUUCACUUGUAACAACCUGUAUGCAUAUUUGGAUAGAAGCCUUGCUUCGUAGUGUAUAAUAAUAAUGCCCCCUGCCAAAGCAAUUUUAAGAAUCACAAGCCUUGUGCCUCGCUGUUUUCUCUAAUGAACUCUGAUUGAUCUAUGCUCCUCUGCAUUGACUAUUGGCCUCACCUAAUCGCUUCAACUGGCAAAAUUAGGUAUUGAAAUGAAAGCGACUUGGAACAAAUAACAUAAACAAAUAACAUGGGUCAAACAGCAAAAACAAUCAAACAAACAAACAUAAACGUGACGUUGUAACAAAUAACAUGGGUCAAGAUAUAAAUCAACUGACCAACAUUGUUGAAUUGUCGAUAUUUUUAUUGACUUCAAUUGACUAACAACUUUCCUUCUUUUCUUGAAGGAUGGCUUUGGCGGCGUUUCUUGAAGGAUGGCUUGGACCUCUCGUUGAUUCGCGUCCUCGAUAUUGGUUCGUGGCUUUCGAUCUUCCUGAUCUCGCCGUCUUCCGAAGAGAAGACGUUUGUCGAAGUUAUCGCAAUCGACGCUCACCAUUGUCCUGGUAAGUCACGGUUAAGCUAAC